rnacentral:ncRNA from 1 species
CAAAGGCUUGGUCCUGACUUUACUAUCAGCUCUAGCUAGACUUACACAUGCAAGUAUCCGCACCCCUGUGAGAAUGCCCCACAGUUUCCCGCCCGAAAACAAGGAGCCGGUAUCAGGCACAGUUAACCCUAGCCCACGACACCUUGCUUAGCCACACCCUCAAGGGAUUUCAGCAGUGAUAAACAUUAAGCUAUAAGUGAAAACUUGACUUAGUUACAGCUAAGAGAGCCGGUAAAACUCGUGCCAGCCACCGCGGUUAUACGAGAGGCUCAAGUUGAUAGACAGCGGCGUAAAGAGUGGUUAAGGAAACUUUUAAACUAAAGCCGAACGCCCCCAGAACUGUUAUACGUUUCCGAAGGUAUGAAGCCCCACCACGAAAGUGGCUUUAUCUCCCCUGACCCCACGAAAGCUGUGAAACAAACCGGGAUUAGAUACCCCAUUAUGCUCAGCCCUAAACCUUGAUAGACCAUUACACCCACUAUCCGCCCGGGUACUACGAGCAUUAGCUUGAAACCCAAAGGACUUGGCGGUGCUUAACAUCCACCUAGAGGAGCCUGUCCUAGAACCGAUAACCCCCGUUAAACCUCACCCUCUCUUGUUUUUUCCGCCUGUAUACCGCCGUCGUCAGCUUACCCCGUGAGGAGCCCAUAGUAAGCACAAUUGGUAAUACCCUAAACGACAGGUCGAGGUGCAGCUAAUGAGAGGGGAAGAGAUGGGCUACAUUUCCUGAACCAGGAAAUACGAACAAUGUUCUGAAACGGACAUUAGAAGGAGGAUUUAGUAGUAAGCAGGAAACAGAGCGUUCUGCUGAAACCGGCCCUAAAGCGCGCACACACCGCCCGUCACUCUCCCCAAGCUAACGACAAACAUGUACCUAAAAACUCACAUCUGCAAAGGGGAGGCAAGUCGUAACAUGGUAAGUGUACCGGAAGGUGCGCUUGGAUAAAUAC